rnacentral:lncRNA from 1 species
UGGAAUAUAAAUUUUAAAAAUUUUAAUAUGCAAAUCGAAAGCUUUAACGAUUAAAACUAUCGAACUGAAACUCAAACCCUAGAAUCACCAUAUAGAUAUCGAACAAAUCAAGACCAAGCAUGGAAAGAGUUAGAAACUUAUACUUAUUGAAAUGAGCAAAUUGAUAAGAAUGUGAUCUCCAUGAGACUCUAAAGUAGAAGUCCUUCAAUGGUGA